UUGGUAGUAUAAUAAAUUACGUUGAAUUGCAGCUUCAAAAGUGUUAAAUUAACUUAACUCUCAAAAUUUAUUUGGUCUUAGUUAAAUAAAGAGUUAAUAUUAAAACUAUCAUAAAAAUAUUUAAAAUGGUUGGGAGACUAAAAAUUAAAAAUCUCCAGCUUAGUGGUGAGUUUUUUAAAAAGAACGUAAGUUCGUUUAAGUUAAUAUUAAUAAAGGGGUAAAUAUUAGGUGCCAGCAGCUGCGGUUAUACCUAUUCUUUUUCUUUAUUUUUGGGGAAAAUACAAAUUUAUAAAUUUCAAACAAAUUAACCUUGUCAUAGUUAAAUAGCAUGGUUACUAGGUUCUAAAUUGAAAGUUAUACAUUGUAAUAUUUUAUAUAAAAACUAAGAUUAGGUACCUUAUUAUUAUAAAAAGUAAAUUAUAUGACCCAGAGGAGUAAAAUAUAUAAAACUCAAAAGACCUGGCGGUGGAAGUCUUCCUACCAGAGGAGUGUGCCAAAUAAUAGAUAAUCCGCUAAAUAAUUAACCUCUUAUAUUAUAGUUAGUGUACGGCCGCUUUCAGGCAGUUUUUAGAGAAUAAAAAAAUUGCCUAUAUUUUACUAUUUAUUAUCUAGUUAAGACAGGUCAAUGUGCUGCUAAUAAAGAGUGUUCAAAGGUGCACUAUUUUAACAUAGGAAAAAGGACUAAAAAUUGUAAAUAUUUUUAUCAAUUAAGAUUUGGUAGUAACAAUAAUUUAAUAUGUUGUUGUGAAUUUAAGGUAAAGAUCCGUGUACACAUCGCCCGUCGCUC
rnacentral:rRNA from 1 species